AAAGUUCCAGAGACGAUAUGGAAUUAUAUUUGACCUGAAAUGUUCCCUUCCUGGAGCUCCGGAUGCUGCAAUUAAGAGGUUCCAUGUGACACUGCCUUCCGGCUUUUCCUUAGGUUUUGUCGUGGAGUCCCUUUUUUUUUCUUCCUUCUUUCUCCAGUGUACACUUGAAGGUUUGCAACGCUUCACGCUUGAAGACUUGGGAAAAACUGAGUCAAUUCAAUCUGACCGACUUCAUAGUCACCGGCUUCACAUGCAUUUGCUUGCUGUGAAAAGAAAAGCAUGUGAAGAAAAAUAUAUUGCCACUGAAGGAAUGGAUCUGUCUCAAAUAUAAUUGCUCAUUUUUAUCUGUCCCUUGUGUACAUACUCCUUCCAGCCCUAGCUCUUCUGAAUGGACGCACCCUCCAGGCCACUUCCGCAUCCGGCCACGCUACCAACGUCUUUGCCAGUGCCAACGUCCUGGGUCUCUUCUUGAUUCUCUGAGAUCCCUGGGGCUGCUCACAAGGCUUGAGGCCCUGGGCUCUUAGAAGCUGAAAGAAAACCUGAAAGAAAUUCACUGGGCUUUGCAAUCAUUGUGCUAAAACACCUCCAGCAAGGAGCUACAUCAUCCCAUUUCCGGGCACGUGGGUGCUGGAGCUACUGGGCUUCUAGCCCCGGGUUGACGGUCUUAGAGAACUUGAGAUCAGAUUCUGGUCCAGAGGGCAGAGCAGAUUGAGUUUCUUGAGAAGAAACCAGGAAGCAAUGACCGGCCUUGGAUUUUCUGGAGCAAUCCUGCUUUUAAGCAUUUUUAUUUUGUGGUCUACAAAAAUCCUUUUGUCCAUAUUAGAGCAUGUGUUCUAACUGCAGCAGGUGGACAUGGGGAAGUGGAGAGGUUGGGAAGAUGUAGGUGUAGCAAAUGACAGAAACUGAUGCGGGAACUGUUCUGGGGAGGCCACUGUCACUAUCAGGAUAUUGUGUUAUUAAGAGGGCCACUUAUAGGAACAGCGGUUGAGGCUGGUUUAUCUGUUUAGCUCAUUCUCAGUCUUGUCAGCUAAACAGACAUUGGGGCUCUGGU
rnacentral:lncRNA from 1 species